CGGGGUAUAGCGUAGCCCGGUUAUUGCGUCCUGCUUUGGGAGCAGGAGGUCGCAAGUUCGAAUCUUGCUACCCCGA
rnacentral:tRNA from 1 species